GCCGUUACGUUGGUGACGUCACCACGAGCGCGAGAAGUCGAAGGUAGGAGCAGAAAGCGGUGUUAGUGUUAGUUCUGGCCCGUUUGGACCCAAACUAAAGUGUAUCAGUAUGAAGCAGGCGGUGACGGCGCACUGAUUGACCGGUUCACUAAUGACCGAAUCACCGAGGAACCGACCAAAGAUAACUCACACCCGCACGAAGAAGAACAAGAGGAGGAGAAGAUGAGCUGGAGUGGGGCAAAGAGAACUGCAUUCAGAUCAAACGGAUACAAGAGAGGUGGCCGAGUUGUUUGAGGAUCUAAAGAAUUGAGUGUCACAAUUCAACAUGCACAUCAGCGAAACUUUUCCCUCUGACUACACCAGCACGCACGCACAGAAAUUCAUAGUGCAGGUGGUGAUUGCAGGCGCAUUUUAUCCGAACUGCUUCCUCCAGGGAGCUGUGGACGAGGAGCUCGCCUCCAAGGAACUCUAUGGAAACGACCCCAGGACCACCAUAGUGGUGUGUAAUCUCCCUCCAUUUGCAUUCCUCUACUAUAAACAGCUCCAGUCUCUCUUCAGACACUGUGAUUAAAUCAAAUCCAUCUCCUUUGACAGCUCCAGGGCCUAUGUAGAGUUCUACCGCUCGUCAAUGAGAGGUUCUGGCGUUCUCCCAGAGGUCUCUCUGUCUCUCCUCCUCACGCAGCAGAGACUUCCUCUCCAUGUCAACGUUUAACCUGCUGGAGAGGUGGAGACUUGGGCAGGGGGGUAGUGUAUCUCACACCUCAGAUAUACACGGGUGAAUGUGGAUUUUCAGAAUCAGUCAGUGAGCCCUGUCGGGGUUCUGAGCAGCUCCAUUGAGUUGGAGAAUCUUCCGUCUAACCCUGUCUUUAUCGAGGUCCAGGUGCAGCCUUUGGAUAUUGAUGAAGAUUUACUGCCCCUGCAAGACCUUCCUCAACUGCGUAGUCUGGAGCAAAGGAUGCAACAGAGCCCAGAUUACAAGCAAAAUCUGGUAAACUGGUUGGCGCUUAUUGACGGGGUGUAUGUGCGUGACUGCACCUGGCGCAUAUUGAAGAGGGUGAUUGCUAACUCCCUGGAAAAGAAUGUCAAUUGGAGGGGAGUCAAUGGAAAGACUUCACUGUCCGCUCUCCAACUCGGAGAGGUCGUGAUUGGUUGUUUCGUCCUGAUGGCCUGCACCCCAGCAGCCUCGGAGCGGAACUGCUGUCUGACAACAUCUCCAAGACGCUACACUCCAAGUGACUGUCUACCUUGUUGGCAGCUCAGCGGGCGAGACGUGUGGCUCUGAUCGCUCGGAUCAAUAGUCUAAGGCUGGAAGUUCAGUGCAUAGGGUAAGUCAACACCUGUUUCAGUGUUUAUUUACAGUCACAGUGUUUAACUCACACUUCACGUGCAGAAGAAGGAGGACAGGGUAAAGGAAAUGCGCCAUACCGUGGCGUAGGGCACGGCCAACAGGCUGCAGCUCCAGACCCGGCGGUAGGGAUGCACAAUUCAGCUAAUUAAAACUUGUCUAUUUUUUUUUUUUAACUACGUUCAACCACUCUGCUAACGAUUCAUCGGUGACUCGAUCACUUGAGUUUUAUUUUACUGUGUUUUAUAUUGUUUGGGGAGAGUGUGUGUUCUGUCCAUGGAUAACGGUUUAGAUGUACAACGAAGUGCGUGAGUUUAAAAGACCUGUGCUCCUGUAGGUGUUGAGAGCUCAGUGAAAAAAAAGCAUGAUGUUUGAAUGUGUACAUAUGAGUAGAAUAUUUGUUUUGUGAAAUAAAUGAAAACAAAUGUUGAUUACGGUUUUAGGGAGGCUGGUUUGCCUUUGAAUAAAAAGUUUAGGAGGUAAAGCGUUUUUCUAAAAAAAGAAUUGCAUGUAUUUCCUUCUAAACAUAAGCCUUUAGGAUGUAAAAAUGGUUAAAAGAGCUGUUUAAAAAGGAUAACCCAUAUUACAUGACUUCUAAGCAAAGAUCCUUUAUGAGGUAAAAAUGUUAGUGUUGGCUAAAAGAAUCGCCGUAUUGUUUAAACUAGAAGAUAGGUUUUCGCAAGAUGUCUUCCAUUCGCUUGUUUCACAUCAUAUGAAAAAACUAAACUUAACUCCAUGUAUUUUUUGUAUUAUCAUUUUGGUGGAAAAAUUUUUUAGACAUCAUGGCUGGAAAUGCACAGCAGGGCAACCAACAGGCUGUACCACAAGACAUGGCGGCGAGACGAGCGUCCCUGCAGACUUUAAUUGAUGAUGCAUUGCAGGAGCUUCAGAACGUUGUGUAAGUGCACAAUUUGUAGUCAACACCUGUUUAUCAGUGUUUAUUUACAGUCACCGUGUUUAACCUCACGCUUCCUACCUCGUUAGGCAGAUCAUGUCUGAGGUCAAGGCACUCAUCACUCAGAUAACAGAUAUGUUAAAGUAACGUCUGAACUUAUUCACUCUUAUUCUCUGUCUCUCUCUCUCUCUACAUUCAUUAUGAACCGGUUUCACUGACUGUGUUUAACGUGCAGGCUGUGUCCUUGGAGCAUGUGACUUCUAUUUCGUCUGUGUUUUCAGAAGGAGGUGGAAGAGAGGUGUUGUUUUUUUGUUG